AGUGAACGCUGGCGGUAGGCCUAACACAUGCAAGUCGAACGGCAGCACCGUAAGAGCUUGCUCUUCCGGGUGGCGAGUGGCGGACGGGUGAGGAAAACAACGGAAUCUACUUUUUCGUGGGGGUUAACGUAGGGAAACUUACGCUCAUACCGCAUCCGCCCUACGGGUGAAAGGAUGGGAUCUUCUGACCUUGCGCGAAUGAAUGAGCCGCUGUCGGGUUUGCUAGUUGGCGGGGUAAAGGCCCACCCAGGCGACGAUCCGUAGCUGGUCUGAGAGGAUGAUCAGCCACACUGGAACUGAGACACGGUCCAGAGUCCUGCGGGAGGCAGCAGUGGGGAAUAUGGGACAGUGGGGGGAAGCCUGAUCCAGCCAUACCGCGUGGGUGGAGAAGGCCUUCGGGUUGUAAAGCCCGUUUGUUGGGAGAGAAAAGCAUCAGGUUAAUACCCCGCUGUUCUGACGGUACCCAAAGAAUAAGCACCGGCUAACUUCGUG
rnacentral:rRNA from 1 species